rnacentral:rRNA from 1 species
UACGUAGGGUCCAAGCGUUAUCCGGAAUCACUGGGCGUAAAGCGUGCGUAGGUGGAUGUUUAAGUGUAUUGCGAAAUCUUGUGGCUCAACCAUAUAGACUGUAAUGCAUACUGGAUAUCUAGAGGACGGCAGAGGCAAGUGGAAUUGGUAGUGUAGCAGUGAAAUGCGUAGAUAUUACCAGGAACACCAAUGGCGAAGGCAGCUUGCUGGGCCGACCCUGACACUGAGGUACGAAAGCGUGGGGAGCGAACAGG